rnacentral:rRNA from 1 species
CCUACGGGAUGCACCAGUGGGGAAUAUUGGACAAUGGGCGAAAGCCUGAUCCAGCAAUGCCGCGUGUGUGAAGAAGGUCUUCGGAUUGUAAAGCACUUUCGACGGGGACGAUGAUGACGGUACCCGUAGAAGAAGCCCCGGCUAACUUCGUGCCAGCAGCCGCGGUAAUACGAAGGGGGCUAGCGUUGCUCGGAAUGACUGGGCGUAAAGGGCGCGUAGGCGGUUUAUGCAGUCAGAUGUGAAAUCCCCGGGCUUAACCUGGGAACUGCAUUUGAGACGCAUAGACUAGAGGUCGAGAGAGGGUUGUGGAAUUCCCAGUGUAGAGGUGAAAUUCGUAGAUAUUGGGAAGAACACCGGUGGCGAAGGCGGCAACCUGGACCAACACUGACACUGAGGCACGAAAGCGUGGGGAGCAAACAGGAUUAGAUACCCGGGUAGUC